rnacentral:RNase_P_RNA from 1 species
GGAGUCAGCCAGACAAUCGCUGCGCCUCAACGGCGGGGAGGAAAGUCCGGGCUCCAUAGGGCAGAACGCCAGGUAACACCUGGGGGGCGCGAGCCUACGGAAAGUGCAACAGAAAGUAAACCGCCGCUAUUUUUACAAAUGGCGGUAAGGGUGAAACGGUGCGGUAAGAGCGCACCGCGCAGCUGGCAACAGUCUGCGGCAUGGUAAACCCCGUUCGGAGCAAGACCAAAUAGGAAUCCUUUAGGUGUGGCCCGCACUGGAUUCGGGUAGGUCGCUAAAGGUGUGUGGCAACGCAUGCCGUAGAUGAAUGAUUGUCCAAGACAGAACCCGGCUUAUCGGCCGACUCCCAUC